GGAAUUUAAUUUGUUAGUAGCAGUUACAACAUUUUGCGCAAUUAAUAAAUUGCUAACAAGUUAACUCCAAUUUGCAUUAAAAAUGAACAAUACUUUACCUACACCUACCUACUUUAAAACAUUCGUUCAAUGUUCGAAACAGGUCCAAUUUUAGUCUGUUUAGUUCUUAAAAUGGACAUUUUUCGAAUGUUCAGGAAAGUAACACUGGACAUGUUUAAAAUGUCCUAAAGAUGUCUGAGGCUCUAAUCUGGAUGUUUUAAAUAUGUACGAAACAUCCAAUAUGUAUAUUUUUAAUACGUUUUUAAAACGUCAUUGUGCUGUCUGGGUUGUGAAAAAAGACAAAGUGUUGAUGAUAAUCGGCAUUGUGAUUACUUAAACGAUAAACGGGCAGAAAUCGAAUUAGAAUCUAAUGUAUGAUCCACAAACGUCGCAUUUAUCGUCAUCAAAUUACGAAUCAUAAAGAGACAUUCAUGUGCAAAAUGUUACUAUUAUAAUAUUGAAAAAAUUCUGAAUCUUGAUAAUCCUAAUGAAUUUAUAGGCAAACGAAAAAAAACUGAAGUUAAGGUUCAUAAACAUUCUACAACAUGUACUCCACAAUAAGAAAAAGAUGUUAGAUUUUUUUCACCUAUGGCUGAAGAUUUUCGGUAAAAAUUCUUACGUAUCUCUUUAUAUUAAAAUAUUUUUUAAUGAAUUAUUACAAAGCAUACUUUUUAUUUUUUCUGUAGCCAAUUAUAUGAAUGGAUAGACACAAGGUUUACAAAUAUUGAAAGAACUAUACAAAAUUCUCUAAAUUCAAAAAAUAAGAAAAAAUGUUGGAUUAAAUCUUCUUUUCUUCCCUUUACAAGUAAAGAAGAAGUUCUAAAAUUUGAUAAUGCAGAAGAGAAAACUUAUGACGAAGUUGUAAGUAUUAAAUACAAAAAAAGGAGAUUAUUUGCUAUAUAUAAAUUAUUAAUUUAAAAUUAUACUUGUAUAUGUAUUAGAUAUGUUAUCUACAAUAUGUUGGAGGAUUUUCAUUAAAAGAAGCAUUAAAUUUAAAGAAACAGUUGAAGACGAAGUUAUGUCUUUUUUUACUUUUUAUGGCAAUAAAGAAGAAAAAAUUGACUCAUUUUUCAAAACAAAACUUUGUUCUGCUAUUCAAGAAGCAAUAUCGGAAAACAAACACUUUCAUUCACCAAGUAGUACGGAGUUUCGUCAAGAUAUGAUUGAAGCCAUUCGUAAUGCCAAACAACGUAAAAGAAAUGCAAUUAAUAAAAAGGAGAGCAAAGGUAAACGUCAUUUCCAAAAAGAAGAAAUGCAACAAAUCUUUAUGCAACGUCAAGAGAAGUACUUGCAAAAAGAAUAAUAUAAGUAUUUUUAUAAAGAAAAGUAGAUAUAUAUGAGUUUAAAACGAACAAAACGCAAAUUUGUUCGAAUCUGGUUUCUUUUUUUAAUUUUUUAAACACGGAAUCUUUUUUUUCAUUUAUAUUUCGAUUACUGAAAUUCACUACAAACCACAAGUGUUAGAAAUUUUAAAAUAAAAAUGAUAAAUGGUGUAUUUUUCUUUUCUCAAAUUGUAAUACUAUUAUAUAGUUCCGUCAGAACUUCAGUAUUUGUUUGCAAAUUACUUAAGAAAUUAUAUUUCUUUUUACUUUAUAUUUAUAUGUGUAUGGAAAAGAGAGUUUAAAUUUUUAUGUUACUGUUUCAAAGCUUUAUUUGAUCGAUUUAUUGUAUUUAUUUCGAUAUAGAUAUAAAAGAUGUUUGUAUAUAAUUUUACAUUGACUUCAAAAAUUUUAUUUCUUUAAAUUUAAGUAUAAUUGAAGUAUCACUUUAGUACAUAAAAUGUAUCAAAAUUAGUAUGCUAAUUACAUAUUGUAUUCAUAUAAUUAUAACAUUUAAUUGAUAACAUUUAAUUUAUAAAAUAAUUUUUUCCUAGCGCGUUUCCUUUUAAUCUUUAAUUAUUUACGCAAUAUAUUGCAAUUUGUUAAUUAUAUUUAAAACAUUAUUAUUUUUAUACAAGAGAACAUUAUAAUAAAUUCUAUUGUAAAAUUAAAUAAUUAAUCUUGAUAAAAAUAACGUGUUUGAGUUUUAUUGCUGCAUAUUGUGUGUAAAGAAUAUUAGAAUAACAUAUUUUAAACAUUUUAAUAUUCUAAAAUACAUUGAACUCUUCAUUGAGCGAUGUUAUAUAGUAAUGUAUCCUUUGAUAUUUAUCAAAAUUUUAAUUAACAAUUUUAUAACAAUUGUAAAUCUAAUUAAAGUAUUAAUUAAAUUUUUGAAAAAUGUUAACACGUACAUUAUAGCAUACAU